rnacentral:misc_RNA from 1 species
UCAAACUUGGUCAUUUAGAGGAAGUAAAAGUCGUAACAAGGUUUCCGUAGGUGAACCUGCGGAAGGAUCAUUAACACGUAUCCACGUAUCAACCCCUCGUGCAAAACAAGCCACGUAUAUUUGGUCAGUCUAGUCUACUUUGCUUGUCACGGUCCCAACGGUGGCGGUUCCUCUUUCUUUUCAAGAGGGAGGAGCCGGGGAUCUUGAGCGGGUAGGCGCUUUAACGGCUGGCUGGCAUUUUCCCAUCGUUGAGAAUGCCUAAUUGUCCUUUUUUUAACCCCUUUGUACUUCUUUGUACUGAACCACAUUUCUUUCGGAGCUCGAAAGGGCGACGAAGAGAACAUGUUUACGAAACAAAAGAACAACUCUUAGCAACGGAUAUCUUGGUUCCCGCAUCGAUGAAGAACGCAGC